CCUACGGGAGGCAGCAGUGAGGAAUAUUGGUCAAUGGACGAGAGUCUGAACCAGCCAAGUAGCGUGAAGGAUGACUGCCCUAUGGGUUGUAAACCUCUUUUGUCGGGGAGCAAAAGCCGGACGUGUCCGGCUGUGAGAGUACCCGAAGAAAAAGCAUCGGCUAACUCCGUGCCAGCAGCCGCGGUAAUACGGAGGAUGCGAGCGUUAUCCGGAUUUAUUGGGUUUAAAGGGUGCGCAGGCGGAUUUUUAAGUCAGUUGUGAAAGUUUGCGGCUCAACCGUAAAAUUGCAGUUGAAACUGGCAGUCUUGAGUACAGUAGAGGUGGGCGGAAUUCGUGGUGUAGCGGUGAAAUGCUUAGAUAUCACGAAGAACUCCGAUUGCGAAGGCAGCUCACUGGACUGCAACUGACACUGAGGCUCGAAAGUGUGGGUAUCAAACAGGAUUAGAUACCCUAGUAGUC
rnacentral:rRNA from 1 species